CCUCCCCGAGCCCCGCUGCCUCCCGCCUCCCUCCUCCCCGGCGCCCGCCUCCCCGCGGCGUGCCCGCCUCCCUCCCUCCGUCCCCCGGCCGGCAGCCGGGCAGCGGGCGGGCGCUGCCGCCGGCCCCACAGCACCGCGGCCGGGCUGCGCGGAGCGGAGCGGAGCGGAGCGGGGCUGGCUGGGCGGGGAGGGAGGGAGGGAGGGGAGUGGAUGUGUGUGUGUGUGGAAAGAGCGGGGGGGGGCGAAGGGGGGGAAAUCAAAUAAAUAAAUAAGCUCCCCACCAAUAAGAGAGGCAGCGGCUGGCGAGCAGGCUGGGCUCGGCUGGGAGAGGUCCUCGCUCGGCUGCGUGUUUGUUUGUGUUGUGACCAGAGCCGCGAAGUUCAGAGCCCAAACGUGUUGCUCCGCUCCGCUCCACCUGCUCGGCCGGCGGGGGGGUGCCGCUUCGGCCGCCCCGCCGCCCUCCGGGGCCGAAGGACGGGAGAGGAGCGCGGGGCCGCGCCCGCCGCCCGCCCGCCUUCCCCUCAGCCACCGCCGGGGAGGCGACGGACAGGAAACAAUCAAGUGUGUGGGCGUAAUGAAGCCCACAGAAAGAUUCAUAAUAACUUCCUCGAAAGAUUUUUAGAAAAUAUGUGCUAUGUAGCUUUGGAAGCUUUGUUCUUCUGCCUCUGGGAGUAAAUUGGGAAGUUCAACCAGCAGAGUUUACUUUCUCAGAAGACAUAACGGGCAUUGAUAAUGUACUGCAAACUGUAAUUCUGUAGUGCCAUCAGGCUGCAGACUGACGGGAAUCUCUUGGGAUCCACUGAGGACCUCUGAGGUUGUAAUAUUUUCUCAAUGAAGUGGCUGAUGUCUUUAGUAGGUGCCUUUGAUUUCAAAGGGCAUUUUAUUUUUCUUUAAAGAUGAAAGCAUUUUAGACUUUUGUAACACGAAGUUAAGGCCAGAUAAUAACAGUAGAUAAAAUUAGUAUUUGUGACAGAUUUAUUGUUUGAAUGUAGUGAAGUCCAUCUUCAGGUGGCCUCCAUGUAACUGCUAAACAACUACACUGGAUUUUCUUAAAUAGAACAGGUUGCCUGUUUUCUAAGUAUAUGAAUUGAGAGAAAAGUUAGGAUAUUUUAACCCAAAUUUUUAUUUCUUUACUGGGAUUUUUAUAUGCUUAAGCAAACUAUCCUAUAAACAGCCUUUAUUAACAUUUGAAAGAAAGGUGAAAAUUUCAGUUAAUGUUUUUUUUUAUUUAUUCCCUGAAUGUAAGGGGUUUUCUACUUUGUGGUAAACAAAAACAAGGUGACAUUUUUUUAAAAGUCACAAAUACUGUUCUUGUUUGUUAUAAUGCAUAUCUGUUUUUUAAAAUGAUUACAUGGUUACUAAAUGAAUACCUUCCCAAAUAACUUUAUCUACAAGUUAAAAAAAUAAAAAUAAAAAUCCCGGAACUGAUGCA
rnacentral:lncRNA from 1 species